GACGAACGCUGGCGGCGUGCUUAACACAUGCAAGUCGAACGGAAAGGCCCUGCUUUUGUGGGGUGCUCGAGUGGCGAACGGGUGAGUAACACGUGAGUAACCUGCCCUUGACUUUGGGAUAACUUCAGGAAACUGGGGCUAAUACCGGAUAGGAGCUCCUGCUGCAUGGUGGGGGUUGGAAAGUUUCGGCGGUUGGGGAUGGACUCGCGGCUUAUCAGCUUGUUGGUGGGGUAGUGGCUUACCAAGGCUUUGACGGGUAGCCGGCCGGAGAGGGUGACCGGCCACAUUGGGCCUGAGAUACGGCCCAGACUCCUACGGGAGGCAGCAGUGGGGAAUAUUGCACAAUGGGCGGAAGCCUGAUGCAGCAACGCCGCGUGCGGGAUGACGGCCUUCGGGUUGUAAACCGCUUUCGCCUGUGACGAAGCGUGAGUGACGGUAAUGGGUAAAGAAGCACCGGCUAACUACGUG
rnacentral:rRNA from 1 species